GAGACUUGCAUCCCUCAAGCUCGCCCGCCAUGGUCUGCAAAAGCCCCGCCCCACAAACAGCUGAGAGGCGCUCUCUAACGGCGGCCGAGCACUCGAAAACCUAUCCAAAGGAUGAUUGCUUGAUGGAAAUCCCUUGUUAACCAGUUUAACUUUUUGACUUGCCAGCCGAUUAACUGAAUGGAAUCUACCACUCAGCUCUAAUUGCGGCCUAAACCUUACCUAUGGAACAUUGUUCAAUAAAACUAUCUCCUGAUGACAUAA